AUACGGAGGGGGCUAGCGUUGUUCGGAAUUACUGGGCGUAAAGCGCGCGUAGGCGGGUUGGCAAGUUGAAGGUGAAAUCCCAGGGCUCAACCCUGGAACUGCCUCCAAAACUGCCAGUCUUGAGUUCGGAAGAGGUGAGUGGAAUUCCUAGUGUAGAGGUGAAAUUCGUAGAUAUUAGGAAGAACACCAGUGGCGAAGGCGACUCACUGGUCCGAUACUGACGCUGAGGUGCGAAAGCGUGGGGAGCAAACAGGAUUAGAAACCCGGGUAGUCC
rnacentral:rRNA from 1 species